rnacentral:rRNA from 1 species
GAUGAACGCUGGCGGCGUGCCUAAUACAUGCAAGUCGAGCGAACAGACGAGGAGCUUGCUCCUCUGACGUUAGCGGCGGACGGGUGAGUAACACGUGGAUAACCUACCUAUAAGACUGGGAUAACUUCGGGAAACCGGAGCUAAUACCGGAUAAUAUAUUGAACCGCAUGGUUCAAUAGUGAAAGACGGUUUUGCUGUCACUUAUAGAUGGAUCCGCGCCGCAUUAGCUAGUUGGUAAGGUAACGGCUUACCAAGGCGACGAUGCGUAGCCGACCUGAGAGGGUGAUCGGCCACACUGGAACUGAGACACGGCCCAGACUCCUACGGGAGGCAGCAGUAGGGAAUCUUCCGCAAUGGGCGAAAGCCUGACGGAGCAACGCCGCGUGAGUGAUGAAGGUCUUCGGAUCGUAAAACUCUGUUAUUAGGGAAGAACAAAUGUGUAAGUAACUAUGCACGUCUUGACGGUACCUAAUCAGAAAGCCACGGCUAACUACGUG